rnacentral:lncRNA from 1 species
UUUUUAUUUUAAUUACAUAUCUUUCAACUCCAGAACUUCUAUUUGUCUUUUUUGUAAAAUUCCUAUUUUUCAAUAUCAUCUUAGAGUAAUGUUACUGUCACAUUUGGGUAUCCCAGUAGUUAGUAGGACAACAGUGAUUAUAAGGCCUUCAUUAAGGGUCUCUUUCCCUAAUACACAGCUGCUAUGUUCUAACUGAUGACCAAUUCUGACCAAUUGUGCCGUUGUUUUCACUGAUGCGAUGGGGCAUGCCCAUCACAGGUUAAUCAAAUUUAGAGUCCUUUAAAGCACGGGCCCCCAACCAUUACCAGUCUGUGGCUAGUUAAGAUCUGGGCCACAUAGCAGAAAGUGAGUGGCUGGUGAGGGAGCUUAUUGCCUGAGUUCCGCCUCCUAUCAGAUCAGCAGCAUUAGAUUCAAAUAAGAGAGUGAACCCUACUGUGAACCAUGCAUGCAAAGGACCUAGGUUGUGCACUCUUUAGGAGAGUCUAAUGCUUGAUGAUCUGAGGUGGAACAGUUUCAAGCCGAAACCAUCCCCCACUGUCCGAGGAAAAACUGUCUUCCACGAAACUGGUCCUUGGUGCGGAAAAUGUUGGGAAACUGCUGCUUUAAAGGGACAGUUGCUGAGGAUUCCCAAGAUUGAGGGUUAAGCAGUGUCUUCCUUCCCAAGGCUUCUGCUGGGUAGGUCUGUAACAUCAUGGGAACUUUCUUUGAAGGUUAGGAAAGGAAAACAAUCUCAGAAGAGCUGGUUAAAAUGUAUCAAAGCAGUUGAUUAUUCUAGCUUCUUCCACACCAGGGGAAUAUCUUACCUAUACAUAAAAGAUUCUCUUCCCUUAGUAAGUUCUGUUAUUGCUUCCUACCCUGGGAAAGACAUCACAUGAUAAAAUAAUAACUGAGAAUAGAAAAUGAAUCAAAUUACUUUUGCAAAAAUUCCCAUUCUUUAUUGUACCAGAUAUGUUUUUCAAUAUUCCAUUGAAAUGAUAUAUUUUUAAAUCAUAUGAUUAUUUGUUCUAUUUUCAUCUCAUUUCUAUCACCCAUUGUAGUUCCCUAUGAGAGAUUUUUUUAUGUGGAUAUUUAUUGACCUUGUUCUCCAAGUUACCCAAGAGAAGGGUGGGUAUGAAUGAGAUUAUUGACAUCAGUAUGGAAAUGAGUUUGAGAAGCUCUUUGACGACAAAGGAAUACAUGAAAGUUUAUCUAAGUUGUAAAGAUUACUAAAGGUCGUAAGUUUCUGCUAUGGUUUUAGCCAACUUUUAAAAAGUCAGACUAUGUUAAGUAGAACCGGAUGAAACAAAUGUAAGAAUAUUGAAAGGCCAUAAAAGUUAGGAGCCUUUGAGGAAAAUGACAAUUUCUUUUGAGUUAGUGUUCAGCAGCAAAUGUAUUAAUAAUAUGUAAGUAUAACUCUUAACUUCACUCAAAUCUAGACUUCUGAUGGUAUUUUUUUAAAAAAAAACACAGGUCAUGAAUUAUAGUGAGGACUUGCCAUAAGAAAAUUGGACUUAGCAGCUUGCUAUUGAUCCAUUCAAUGAGUAGUAACAAACAUUUCUUUUCAUCGGCUUUGCAUCUGCACAUUUAUCUGUUUCGAAAGCCAAUUCGAUAAAGCCUCUUAUUUGACAUUACCUUUCCAUGUUCUAUACUAUUUGUUUUGGUUAGAUUGAACUACGACUGUUGAUACAGUUUCCUGAGGGCAUUGGUAUACUUACCAUUGCAGAGUUAUUUAUUUCACAAGACUUCUUCUUUGUCCCUUUCAAAACUGCCAUCUUUUCCACUGUGAAAUGGCCUGGAUUUGCAAGCAGGAUGAUAACUUUGGUAUCUCAUUGUGCCAUCACCUUAUAACACUUGCUAUGCUUACAUAACUUUUCAAUUAUGUGACCCUAUUCAAUAUUAUGAUGAGGGAGCUGAAAUGAGAUUUUUUCUCAGGUAUCUUAUCCACUUUCAUGUAGAAAUUCUAAUCUUUGCACGAAUAGCAAAAUUAGUGUUUUGGUAACACAAACAUUGAAGCCUCUGAAUUUUAAAAAAGGAGAUUCUCAACUUGAGAAAGAAUACAGGCUCUAAACUUCCAAUUAUAUGUGAUAAAUCACUAAAAAUGAAGCCAUAAUGUAUGUGCGUGUAUGUUUAUAAUCUCUCAGGAUUUAGUGAAUUUGCAGACAUAAAUUUGCUUCUGACUUAUAAAAUCGAGAGUUGGAAACCCUUCAGUAAGCGGAAUGAAAGGAACAAUGAAAUAGUUUAAUGCCUCCAGGUGUUCCUUACCCCCAGCCGUGCUUUCUUUUGCUGCUUUCUGUCUUGUCUUCUUCAACACUCUUGAACAUGUAAUGUAUAAUUGUGAUCCAGCAUAGCAUAGAGGUUCAAAAUGUAGACCUCCAAACAAGUCAUCUGUAUUCAAGUCCCAAAUCUGCCUCUAAGCGGCUAGGUAGCCUUAAACAAAACUUAAUCUCUCUGUGUUUUAAUGACCUUAAAUGGAAAAUACGAAAAAAAAAAAUAGUACUUGCUCAUAGGAUUGUGGUUAGUUUUAAAUGAGAUAGAAUAUUUUUAAUGGUUACUUAAGAUAUAAAUGUCAGUUAUUGUUAAUAUCUGCCAUUACCAUAUUUGAUGGCCAUCUAUUGUUUUGUCUGUGUAAUAUCCCUACUAUUUUCUUGUCUUUAAGUCUCCUUGAGAAAUUUCUUUCCUUAUUGUGGUUUUCUUAGACUCUUACUCAAGACGAUUUGUCCUGCUCAAGCCAAGCAGUGACCAUGAGACAAACCUCCUAGGGCAAUCAAUCUCCACUCCAUGUAAUUAAAAAAAAAAAAAGUCAACAAUACUGCAUUUCAUGCUUAAACAUUUGCUAAGGGAGUAGAUCUUAUGUCACGUGUUCUUAUCACAAAUAAUAUUUAUAAGAGAAUGGGAGAAAACUUCUGGAGGUGAUGCAUAGGUUUGUGGCAUAGAUUGUGGUGAUGGUUUCACAGGUGUAUAUUUAUCACUAAACUCAUCAUGUUGUAUACCUAAAUUAUACAGCUUUUUGUAUGUCAAAUUUAAAAAAUAUUAUAAAGAGACUAGUAACAUUAGACACAUUUCCAAAGCACAGAAAACAGCAUGUAAUGAUGUGUUAUUUACAUGUGGUACACAAGUAUUGGGUCCACAUUUAUAAUUUUUUACACCUAUAUAAACUCCUAUAACUAUCCCCUAUCUAAAGAUAAAGAGGACUUUCUAUACCACAGAAACUGCUUUAUGCUCUCUUCCAGUCACUACCCAUAAGAUAACCAAUAUACUGAUUUCUAUUAUCAUAGGAUAUUUUUGUAUAUUUUUGAAGUUUAUAUAAAUGUGUUCAUAAGAUAUAUACUUAUAUCAUUUUUGACAACAAUAUGUCUGAAGUUCAUUCAUGUAAUAUAGCACUAGUCUUUUUGCUCUGCUGUGCAGUAUCUGAUUGUAGGAAUAUACCACAUUUUAUGUUUUCUCUUGCAGAUGAGCAUUUGGAUUUGCUAAUUAUGAAUAAAACUGCUGUGAACAUGCUGGUAUAUAUCUUUGAAUGAGCAAAUGCAACUAUUUCCAUUAGUAUUUUCCCAUUAGUGUGAUUGUUGGAUCAUAGAAUAUGAUGUAUAAAAUACUAUGUUAAGAGACAGUGUCAAAUGGUUUUUCACAUAAGUUAAAUUGUAUGUCUACCACCAUUAAGUGAGAAUUAAAACUGUUCUAUUUCAUCAUCAAUAUUUGGUAUCAUUAGUCUUUUUAAUUGCCUUAUGAGUGGGAAUGUAGUGAUAUGUCAGUGGAAUUUUAUUUUAUAUUUCCCUAAUGACUACUUAUGUUGUUAAAUUUUCUACAAUUUUUCAGCCAUUUGGAUAUCAACUUUUGUGAUGUACCUAUUCACGUAUUUUCUUCAGUUUUUAUUACAUUAUCAAUCAUUUUCUAAUGACUUAUAGGAAUUCUUUAUAUGUUCUAGAUAUGAGUCAAUUGCUGAACCAUUCAUUGCAACUAUCUUUUCCCAAAUCAUGGUUGCAUUUUCAUUAUUUUAAUGUUGUCUUUUGUUGAACAGAAGUUCUCAGUUUUAUUGAAGUUUAUUUUGUCUUUUUUCCUCAUUUUAUGUUUAGGGAUUUUGUAGUCUGCAUAAGAAAUCCUUACCUACAUCAAGGUCAUGAAGAUAAUAAUUCUAUAUGUUUGGUUCUUGAAGAUUUAUUGUUCUAUCUUUCACAUUUAUGUCUGUGGUCAAUAUAAAAUUAAAUUUUAUGUGUACUGUGUAACUCAGCAUCAUUUAUUAAAAGACUAUAUUUCCCCAAAGAAUUAUAGUAGUACUUUUGUCACAAAUCAAGUGAUUUUGUGUAUUGGUUCCAUCUCUGUACUUUUAAAAAUUAUAUUCAAUUGGACCAUUUUUCUAUCCUUACUCCAACGUUUAUAAUAAUUUAAUUAUUUUAAUUUUAUAAUAUUAUCUGAUUAUAUAAUAGCUUAAAUUCCCCAGCAUUGAUUUCUUCUUUAUGAAUACCUUGGCUAUUCUAGGUCCUUUAUAUUUUCAUACAAAAUUUAGAAUUAGCACCUCAAUUCCCACAAAAAUAAAAUACUGAUAUGUUGACUGGAACUUUAAAAAAAUCUAUUGGCCAAUUAAGAGGACUGCAUAUAUUAACAUUGAGUCUUACAAAUUAUUAUCAUGGCACAACCCUUCUAAAUUUAUAUCUUUAUUAUUUUCACUAUUUUAUAGUUUUUAGUGGAAAGGUCUUGAACAUACUUCGCUAGAUUUAUUAAUAGUUACAUGGUAAUAUCUUAAAUGGUAUUUAUGUUUAAUUUUCUAUUUGUUUAUUGUGAUUACAUAAAACUCAAUUUUUAUCUUAUGAUGGCUUAUGCCAAAUAUAUAUUUUAAUUUUUCUAUGUGUACAUUUAUGAGUGUUUUCAAAAUACAAUAUUCAUGUCAUUUUUCCCUUUGUCAUGUCAUGGUGACUGGAAUAUCUAAGAAAAUGGUAAGUUGAACUGAUGAAAGUAUAUAUGCUUCUCUUGUCCUUAACCUCACUGUGAAAGUGAAAAGCUCUUUUUAAUCUCUAAUUUACUGAGAAUUUUCAUCAUGAAGAGUAUUAAUUUUUAAUCAAUGUUUUUUCUGCAACUAUACAAGUGGUUACAUAUUUUUUCUCCUUUACUCUUAUUAGAUUAUUUUAAAUUAUUUUAUGUACUUUACCUCAACUUUCAAAAUUAUCAGAAUAAAAUUGUUAAUAAUAUCUCCAUUGUAUAUUUUGAUGUUUACAUAUUUG